rnacentral:rRNA from 1 species
CCCGGGCCUUGUACACACCGCCCGUCACAUCACGAAAGUCGGUUGUACCGGAAGUCGGUGCGCCAACCCGCAAGGGGGGUAGCCGCCCAUGGUAUGGUCGGUGAUUGGGGUG